UACGGGGGGGGCAAGCGUUGUCCGGAAUCAUUGGGCGUAAAGCGCGCGUAGGCGGCCCUGUAAGUCCGUUGUGAAAGUCAAAGGCUCAACCUUUGAAAGCCGAUGGAUACUGCAGGGCUAGAGUUCGGAAGAGGCGAGUGGAAUUCCUGGUGUAGCGGUGGAAUGCGCAGAUAUCAGGAGGAACACCAAUAGCGAAGGCAGCUCGCUGGGACGAUACUGACGCUAAGGCGCGAAAGCGUGGGGAGCGAACAGG
rnacentral:rRNA from 1 species